GAUGAAGAACGCAGUGAAAUGCGAUAAGUAAUGUGAAUUGCAGAAUUCAGUGAAUCAUCGAAUCUUUGAACGCACAUUGCGCCCGCCAGUAUUCUGGCGGGCAUGCCUGUUCGAGCGUCAUUUCAACCAUCAAGCCCCCGGCUUGUGUUGGGGACCUGCGGCUGCCGCAGGCCCUGAAAAGCAGUGGCGGGCUCGCUGUCACACCGAGCGUAGUAGCAUACAUCUCGCUCUGGGCGUGCUGCGGGUUCCGGCCGUUAAACCACCUUCAUAACCCAAGGUUGACCUCGGAUCAGGUAGGAAGACCCGCUGAACUUAAGUAUAUCAAUAAGCGGAGGA
rnacentral:misc_RNA from 1 species